rnacentral:rRNA from 1 species
AGCAGCCGCGGUAAUUCCAGCUCCAAUAGCGUAUAUUAAAGUUGUUGCAGUUAAAAAGCUCGUAGUUGAAUUUCGGGGUCAGUAGGUUGGUCGUGCCACAGGUAUGAACUGGCCUCACUGAUCCUCCUUCCUGAUGAACCGUAAUGCCAUUAAUUUGGUGUUGCGGGGAGACUGGACUGUUACUUUGAAAAAAUUAGAGUGUUUAAAGCAGGCUAACGCUUGAAUACAUUAGCAUGGAAUAAUGAAAUAGGACGUUCGGUCUUAUUUUGUUGGUUUCUAAGAUUGACGUAAUGAUUAAUAGGGAUAGUUGGGGGCAUUAGUAUUCAAUUGUCAGAGGUGAAAUUCUUGGAUUUAUUGAAGACUAACUACUGCGAAAGCAUUUGCCAAGGAUGUUUUCAUUAAUCAAGAACGAAAGUUAGGGGAUCGAAGACGAUCAGAUACCGUCGUAGUCUUAACCAUAAACUAUGCCGACUAGGGAUCGGAUGAUGUUAAUUUUUUAAUGACUCAUUCGGCGCCUUACG